UAGGGAAUAUUGGGCAAUGGACGGAAGUCUGACCCAGCCAUGCCGCGUGCAGGAUGAAGGCGUUAUGCGUUGUAAACUGCUUUUUUAUAGGAAGAAGACUCCCUUGCGAGGGAAAGUGACGGUACUAUAAGAAUAAGCACCGGCUAACUCCGUG
rnacentral:rRNA from 1 species